rnacentral:rRNA from 1 species
AAUGAACGCUGGCGGCAUGCCUAACACAUGCAAGUCGAACGAAGGCUUCGGCCUUAGUGGCGCACGGGUGCGUAACGCGUGGGAAUCUGCCCUUGGGUUCGGAAUAACAGUUAGAAAUGACUGCUAAUACCGGAUGAUGUCGUAAGACCAAAGAUUUAUCGCCCAAGGAUGAGCCCGCGUAGGAUUAGCUAGUUGGUGGGGUAAAGGCCUACCAAGGCGACAAUCCUUAGCUGGUCUGAGAGGAUGAUCAGCCACACUGGGACUGAGACACGGCCCAGACUCCUACGGGAGGCAGCAGUGGGGAAUAUUGGACAAUGGGCGAAAGCCUGAUCCAGCAAUGCCGCGUGAGUGAUGAAGGCCUUAGGGUUGUAAAGCUCUUUUACCCGGGAUGAUAAUGACAGUACCGGGAGAAUAAGCUCCGGCUAACUUCGUG